UACGUAGGUUGCGAGCGUUGUCCGGAAUUACUGGGUGUAAAGCGCGUGUAGGCGGGCGGCCAAGUCUGUGGUGAAAUCGCUCGGCUUAACUGGGCGGGGUCCAUGGAAACUGGUCACCUGGAGGUCGGUAGAGGCAAGUGGAAUUCCCGGUGUAGUGGUGAAAUGCGUAGAGAUCGGGAGGAACACCAGUGGCGAAGGCGGCUUGCUGGGCCGGACCUGACGCUGAGACGCGAAGGCGUGGGGAGCGAACGGG
rnacentral:rRNA from 1 species